UGUCCAGUAGCUCAGUUGGUUAGAGCAGUCGGCUUAUAUCCGAAAGAUCCUUAGUUCAAGUCUAAGCUGGACAACCA
rnacentral:tRNA from 1 species